GGCAUAUGGAGGUUCCCAGGCUAGGGGUCGAAUCAGAGCUACAGCUGCUGGCCUACACCACAGCCACAGCUGUAGCCACUCGGGAUCCGAGCUGCGUCUGCGACCUACACCACAGCUCAUGGCAACACUGGAUGCCCAACCCACUGAGCGAGGCCAAGGAUAAAACUCACAUCCUGAUGGGUACUAGUCGGAUGUGUUUCCACUGAGCUGCAACGGGAACUCCAAAUAUAAUCACUUUUGAAGGCACUGGGGUGAGGACAUAGGUCACACAUCUACGCCUGAAUUUUGAGGAGGGUGGAGUAGGGACCGUUCAGCCCAUACAUGACAGGAAGCUUUUCCUACCUUCUCGGCAACGGUGUGACUGGCUUUUCUUCUCUUGCUGGAGGGAAGGGAGCUAUGGCUUGGACAUCUUCUUUCAUUUUUUUUUUGCCAUGCCCUCAGCCUUGUGGAAGUUCCCAGGGCCAGGGAUCGAACCCACGCCACAGCAGUGACCGUGUCCCGAUCCUUAACCUGCUGUGCCACAAGAGCACACCCUUCUCUUUGGGCUGGAAAGAAUGAUUUUUGCUUGUUCCAGAAAUAACGCUAUGGGUUCAUCUGGAGCAGCCGUGGUGUCAUCUCUGAAAACAGGCUCCCACCCCUCCUGCACGGGCUGGCAAAGCUGCAGCAGUCACCGCACCGGGAGUCAGGGCGCCAAGGAGCCAGUGGAAUCUGCACCAACUCUUCCUCAUGGCCACUCUUCCUAAUGCUCCUUCCUUUUCCAGCUGCUCCGUGGAAACACUGAACCUCAAGAUUUGCUGGCCCAGAACACGCAGGUCCGCCCUCUGCAUUUGCAUCGCACUCCUGCUGCCGUAUAUCUGUUUUCCACGUGAUUCUGAAUUCUCGGAAUUUACAUGUCUCAUGGCACCCCCACAUCUAUGCCUGAAGGGCUUGCUUUGAGUCACGUAUUUCAGCUCAGAGUUUGGGGGCUAUAAUGCAAUCCCACAAUAACAAAGAAAAGGCAAAUCCAACACGUGUAAACUCUCCCAGGCAAAUGGUAUGAAAAUGUGUCAGCUGUGGUGAACUGGCCGGGACUGUCCUUGUGGCUCAUGUGCGACCUUUGAGGACAUGGGCAACCUUUAAGAAGAGAGACUUGUGAGUCGUCAUUAUCAACCUUACCCCACACUUUUGCGAAAUUUAUGUGACACAUGGGUUUGCUGCUGUUUUCUCUGUCAGCACAAACUCCAAGGACCCCGGAAGACGCAGCCAGGGAUCUGCCCAGACUGAACCUUGAGAAACCCUGUGCUCUUGGCAACGGGAGAAAAGAUCCAGCGUGGUCUCUGCCUUCAAGGCUUGUCAUGAAGACAUGCAACCAAAAGAGAGAGGCUGUAAAGAUGAAGCUGUGUUGCAAUGGGUGGGCCCAGGAUUUGGAACCCGAAGACCUGGGUUCUAGUCGCGACACCACCAUUUACUAGCUGCGUCAUGAACUCCCCCACCCAAAUGUCUGGUUCUCACUUGAGCACUAGUUCUUGGGGGACCAUCUUCAGGAUGCUCUUGAUUGGUCGGGAGGGGUGAGGGCUGGGGCGGGUCCUGACCAGACCAAAGCCAAUCAGAGCCCUUCCCUGGGAGUUUACUCUAGCCUGGAUCCAGUAGGGCUCCAGCAGAGGGAGAUGGCAGAUGCAGUGUUCAGAGCCUUUGGCCGUCCUGGUGGAGAAGGAGUCACAGUGAAAGAGGGUGGUGCCAGGGAGAGGCACACAUGGGGAGAAAGCGCUGCUGGCACUAGAGUUCCUGCUUCCAGUUCUUUCUGAGACACUCCCCGCCCCCCGCACCCCUGUCCUCUCCUUGUUUCGCUGCCCAACCCUUCCAGGGAAGCCUCUGCUCUGUCACCCCACCUGGAGGCCACCCUCGGCAUUUGUCACAAUCUUCCUCCCCAACCCCAUUAACAAAACAAAAGCUUUGAUGAAUAUUCAAGCACAUCUCCAAUUUCCUCGCCUCUUUCUCUCUCCAAAGCCCCCAGCC
ensembl:lncRNA